rnacentral:rRNA from 1 species
CAGUAGCCACGGUAAUACAGAGGGUGCGAGCGUUAAUCGGAUUUACUGGGCGUAAAGCGUGCGUAGGCGGCUUCUUAAGUCGGAUGUGAAAUCCCUGAGCUUAACUUAGGAAUUGCAUUCGAUACUGGGAAGCUAGAGUAUGGGAGAGGAUGGUAGAAUUCCAGGUGUAGCGGUGAAAUGCGUAGAGAUCUGGAGGAGUACCGAUGGCGAAGGCAGCCAUCUGGCCUAAUACUGACGCUGAGGUACGAAAGCAUGGGGAGCAAACAGGAUUAGAUACCCGAGUAGUCCCUGUCUCUUAUAA